rnacentral:lncRNA from 1 species
UCUUGCACAAGGACAUCAGAUAAAGAAGACAAAGAAAGAAAGGAAUUGCUUUUAGAACAACACAUAAACUAUAUUGUACGCUUGUGUUUAUUACUUUUGCAGCAGAGGUGAGUAAAUCCUUCUCUUCUCUCUAUCUAGUGUAGCAUUGAAUUUGGUGUGGAAAAAGAAAUUAUAAAGUGCAAGCACGUACGUUAUGAUCAUUUCAUGUUCCUCGAGACUAGCAAUUAUUUUAUAUCAGGGGACACAUGUGUGGGAUCAUGUGACAGAGAAGCCAAAUCAGGCAUAACCAUGACUCUGGUACAUAUCAGUACACAAAAAAUGGCACUCUACUAUGCAUGAAAAUAGUUGAAAAUGACAAAAAAAGGCCAACCCUGCUUC